CAGCAGCCGCGGUAAUACGUAGGGUGCGAGCGUUAAUCGGAAUUACUGGGCGUAAAGCGUGCGCAGGCGGCUUUGCAAGACAGAUGUGAAAUCCCCGGGCUCAACCUGGGAACUGCAUUUGUGACUGCAAGGCUAGAGUACGGUAGAGGGGGAUGGAAUUCCGCGUGUAGCAGUGAAAUGCGUAGAUAUGCGGAGGAACACCAAUGGCGAAGGCAAUCCCCUGGACCUGUACUGACGCUCAUGCACGAAAGCGUGGGGAGCAAACAGGAUUAGAUACCCGGGUAGUCCCUGUCUCUUAUAC
rnacentral:rRNA from 1 species